rnacentral:rRNA from 1 species
UGGUUNAUCCUGCCAGUAGUCAUAUGCUUCGUUCAAGGGCUAAGCCAUGCAUGUCUCAGCGUACACGGUUUCCCACAGUGGGUCUGUGAAUGGCUCCUUACAUCAGCAGUCAUCUCCGUGAUAGAGUGUGGAUGGCACCACCUGCCAGGUGCCCCUUUGGACAUCCUCCAAAACCUGGUGGCUAAUACACGGUCGCARGGGUCUGCCGCAUCAUGGUACUGUCAGCGGUUCGCUGCCUGGCUCUGCCAGKGGUGGAUUGCACCCAGCUGCUGARAAGACCAGCGUCUGRAACAAUGACAGCGUGUCGUGGCUGACUCAGGCUGGUCCCUCCGGGACGGUUGCNCUGGCAGAGUGGUGGCCUCGGCCACAGYAUUGCUUGAUCACACGAACUUCUGACCUAUCAGCCUGGACUGUGGUGUAGUGGACCACAGUGGCAGUGACGGGUAACGGAGAAUCAGGGUUCGAUUCCGGAGAGGGAGCCUGAGAGACGGCUACCACUACCAAGGUGGGCAGCAGGCACGCAAAUUGCCCAAUGCCAAGACAUUCCUGGUGAGGCAGCGACGAACUGCAGCAAUCCCGCCUGUCCUCAGUGACCAGUGGGACUUGUAAUGGAUGCAAUCCAAACACAGUGAUGAGUAUCAACUGGAGGGCAAGUCUGGUGCCAGCAGCUGCGGUAAUUCCAGCUCCAAGAGUGUAUACUAACAUUGCUGCUGUUAAAACACUUGUAGUCGACCGCUGGGUGCAGGUCUGCCAGGUGGCUGGUGGGUGGCGGCACGGUYKCGUCUUCGGGCGCGGCCGGGUCGUGGCCCGCCGGAACUCAACCCCUGGCAGUAUGCUCCUGUACCCGUCUUCAACGAUGGUGCGAACUGCCCCUGCUCCAAGUCUCCUUCAGUGGGGAUCGAUGCGGUUGCAUGCCCAACGCACGUGUGCUUGACGAUCGGAGGCGCGGCCCCGCGCCGSGCAUUCCUCCCGUCCACCACCGGGGUCCACCAUUGCUGUCACCGUGGAAAACUCAGUGUGCUCCAAGCAGCCUGUUGGCUGAAUGUCUGUCCAUGGAAUGUCAAAGCAUUGACCUGAUGUGGCUAUGGAGUUGUGCUGGCCUUGGUGCUCAUCCAGGGGAACGUGGUGCAUGGCCCCUUGCCACUGCUGGCCCAGGUGACACCAUGCAACUGGGUACCCAACAGCGUGGCUUGGGUCGCCAUGCAUCGAUCAGCCAUGAUGGGACUGCUCGAGGUGAAGGGUAUUGCUGCGCCAGAGGUGAAAUUCUUAGACCGCAGCAAGACCAACUGCUGCGAAGGCGCUCUGCAAGUGCACGUUCGUCGAUCAAGAAUGAGAGUGUGGGGAGCGAAGAUGAUCAGACACCGUCGUAGUCCACGACUGUAAACUAUGCCAGCUCGGUGUUGGUGGUGCAAGCUAUCCGUACGCCAUCAGCACCAUGCCCCCUGCAACGAGAAAUCCAAGCCUGUGGGUUCAGGGGGGAGUACUGUCGCAAGGCUGAAACUUAAAGGAAUUGACGGAAUGGCACCACAAGGCGUGGAGUAUGCGGCUUAAUUUGACUCAACACGGGGAAUGUUACCAGGUCAGGACGUUGCCGGGAUGGACAGAUUGAGAGCUCUUUCUUGAUUCUACGGAUGGUGGUGCAUGGCCGCUCCUGAUUGGUGGAGUGAUUUGUCUGGUUGAUUCCGAUAACGAGUGAGAUAUCUGCCUCCCACUAGCCCCAGUCCCGCAUUCUGUAGGGCCGGCACGGUGUUCCUGYYYGGGGUUCGCUCCGGGCCGGGCGCCGCUGCUGCCUGAGGGCUCUGGGUCACGCUUCUCUGAGGUGCUGUGUACGCUACCAAGUGCAUGCAUGCUAGAGCCAACAGCAGGUCUGUGAUGCUCCCAGAUGUCCUGGGCCGCACGCGCACUACAUUGGCCUGGUGAAUGUGUUCACUACUCCCUCGCGGAGUCCUGCCCGGAAGUGGGUGGGAAACCCCUGGAACCCAUGCCGUACUGGGGAUAGAUGAUUGCAACUGUCUGCCUUGAACGAGGAAUGCCUAGUAUGCGUGGGUCAUCAGCCCACACAGAUUGUGUCCCUGCCAUUUGUACACACCGCCCGUCGUUGCUACCGAUGGCAGCAGGAUAGAGCCAUCAGGAGGCCUCUCCUCCUCUGUGAAUGGGCCGAACUCGGGCAAUGUCCUGCUGCUAGAGGAAGCAAAAGUCGUAACAAGGUUGUUGUAGGUGAACCUGC